AGAGUUUGAUCCUGGCUCAGAUUGAACGCUGGCGGCAUGGUUAAGACAUGCAAGUCGAGCGCGAAAGCCCCUUCGGGGGUGAGUAGAGCGGCGCAAGGGCGAGGAAUACGUUCCUACGUACCCCGAGGUCAGGGAUAGCCCAGGGAAACCUGGAUUAAUACCUGAUGUGGUCCUUCGGGAUCAAAGGCUUGCUGCCUCGGGAGCGGGGAACGUCCUAUCAGGUUGUUGGUGAGGUAACGGCUCACCAAGCCGAAGACGGGUAGCGGGUGUGAGAGCAUGACCCGCCGCAUCGGGACUGAGACACUGCCCGGACUCCUACGGGAGGCUGCAGUAACGAAUCUUCCGCAAUGCGCGAAAGCGUGACGGAGCAAUGCCGCGUGCAGGAUGAAGCCCCUCGGGGUGUAAACUGCUGUCAGGGUUUAGGAACACAAUGACCAGACCCAAAGGAAGGGCCGGCUAACUUCGUGCCAGCAGCCGCGGUAAUACGAAGGGCCCGAGCGUUACUCGGAAUCAUUGGGCUUAAAGCGUACGUAGGCGGGCGCGCAGGCACCUUGUGAAAUCCCUCGGCUCAACCGAGGAAUUGCUUGGUGAACCGCGUGCCUUGAGACAAGUAGGGGCUGUCGGAACGAUAGGUGGAGCGGUGAAAUGC
rnacentral:rRNA from 1 species